rnacentral:rRNA from 1 species
GCUAGCAGCCAUAUCACCCUGCAACUCACAACUGGCAACCCAUUGAAGCAAAGCAGGGCUGAGCCUAGUCAGUACCUGGAUAAGAGAACUCCUGGGAGAACCUGUGGUUGCUACUGGAA